AAUAUAUAUAUAUUUAUAUAUAUAUAUUCAAGUGGAAAAUAGUGUAUCAGUAAACAGCUACAUAAUGAGCGUAUUAUUCAUUUUCACCAAAUCUUAAUUAAGUGAGAAAUGCAACAAGGCUAAUGUCAUGACUGACAAAAUUUGAGAUAUUUGAUGUUGGAGAAGAAGUUUUUCGUGAAAGUGGAAUGUUCUCCAUUGUGAAACAUUUGGAUUACCAUCACUGGAAACAAAACAGAGAAGAGGCAUGCUAACCACAUCAAGAAUUAUGCGAUAACGUUAGAUAUUAUAGCAUAGAUAUCAACAAAUGUGACAUUCCAAUCAGCAUAUUGGCCCUUGUAGUUUUUUGCAGAAAGCAUGAAGCUGCAGAAUAAAAGGUUUAGCUGCUUGAUUAUGCCCACUGACGCAUCCAAACUCAUCAAGCAUUGAUGGAUCUGAGUCAAGCAAGCAAGAGCAAACAGCCCUGGAUUGCCAAGGACAGGUCAGAGCUGCAGAGUUUCAUUCACAAGAAAGAAGGUGUUGCUUUCUGCAGGAUGUUAGUUACCAACCACCAGAAAGAAAAAGAAAUGGUGGUUGGUCAUUAGUGUACAAUCCAAGUUUUGCUUUAAACUGUUUGAAAGAGCCAAAGGAAAAGCAAGAAAGCAACAUCAGUUUUCUUUCUGUUUGGUUAUGGAUUGUCUCUACACAUGCUUAAUUCAGAUGGAUUAAAUGGGAUGAGGCUUUAA
rnacentral:misc_RNA from 1 species